GAAAGUAGGUCUCAGAUUUAUCAACAACCAAGAUCUAACAAACUGCUGGACAGAUCAAUACCACAUUAGAACCAGAGGUAAGGAUUGAUGGCUGGAUAUAUCUCCCCAAAUAUAUCAUCAAACUGAUGGUAAGAUUCAGAGAUAGAAACAUAGGCAUGAAAUUAGUAAGUAGGUUCAGAUUUAGUAACUUACUGAAUUGCUGGAAAAUUA